rnacentral:lncRNA from 1 species
GACAUUUCCUGAGUCGUCUUCGAACGGACAAGGCUGUAUCUUGCUCGGUGAUUUAUAGUCUUGUGUGUAGUUGUGCAACUUUCUUCCAUUGUUCUACAAGAAACACGAGCCAGAUACAGUCUCACCGUUUGAGAUGGCAUUGGAACGGACGGAGGAACUUGCUGUUUGCAGCGAUGCUGGGCGUACCGCAGAAUUGGGGACCCCAUGUUCUAGUCUCUACACCUUUCAUUGGUUUGGUUUGUAAACUGUAUCGGAACCAAUGCAUUUCUAUUUGCAAUAUUUUUGUAAUAAUAUACCAAUCGAGUUCGUCAAACAAGUUAAAAGAGCGUUUGAUUCGAUAUUUUUUUUUUUUCAGAAGUAUGGCGGUUUACGUAAAAAAAUGUGUACUUAUAUAGCUUAAAGAAAAUUUGUAUAGUCAAUUUAACCUUUAUAGAUUUAAAUAGCGUUUUAAAUGUUUACUUAAUGAUCGAAGAAUAAUUUUAUAUGUAGAUUUUGUACUUACUUAUAAAUGUUAAUUAACAGUUUUGUAAAUAUUGUGAUACAGCAAAACAGCAGCGGAAAAAAUAAAAAAGAAUGAUAAAAAUUAAAAAUGUUAAUAAUUUUCCUAUGAUUUUUAAAUCGCCAUAUUAAUGCCAAAAAUCCUUUUCAGUCCAGCAUACUACAUAAAAUUCUGUCGAACGCAAGAGUGUCCCGCACGUGUGUCCAGGCUGUUGGUCGUCAUCGGCGACACUAUUUGGCCUGUCUAUAUAUGAGAUAAGGAAUGGUGAGAGGAUUGGUAUGGGAUGAACAAAGGGGCAAAAUCUUUGUUUUUAGAAAUUUGCACACCACGAUCAAGUCGUACAUAAACGUCUUCUCAUGUUCGCGCUUCCGUAUCUUGAACAUCUGAGCAUCGACUAAUUCAAAAAUCAAUGUGAUGCGUGAUAUACAUAGGCUUACUGUGACAUACUGCAGCAACCUCGAGCAAGUUCUAUUUUGGUGAGCUAAUCCCUUCUGUUCGUUACCUGUGCAAAUAUAUUUUCUCAGGUCCAGAAAAAUUUUUCCAAUGUUUAUGCAACCGAGUUCUAUAUAUGGGUUUCCCUGGCUUAUUAAUAAAUCCUGUUCAAAGUUGAUCAAGCUGGAUACUAGACAUCAUAUAUAUUGUCCCAUUUGAAUUAAAAUGUAUAAAAGCUUCAAGGUAUGGAGUAAAUUAAAUGCAUCUUUGUUGAAUUUAGAUGAUCCAGUAAGGCGAGUUACUGCAAGUAGCACAACUAAUUUUAAUAAUAGGCAUGCAUAUAAAAUAUAAACAGCUCAAUUUGAAUAGGAAAUUGCUACAAAUUUUUUACUAUAUUAAAUAUAUUUUUUUGGGAAUCAUUACUAGAUACUUACUUUUCACAGAUUUUGAUAUUACUUCGCUUACUCAUUGGGUCGUAGAGCAAGAAGAACUUAAUGUAUCAUUAGAUUAACAAAAAAAAUUCCUGAUAAGUGAUGUGCAACAGGGUUAUGGAAGUAAAGAGACCGAUUUAAUAUUACAGUUUAAUUGAUUUGAGAAAUACAUUGAGAAUUAACGAAUACUCUGAAAAAAUUUUUUAAUAAUAGUAGGAAAGCAGUGAUCAAGGAUGAACAAGCAGGAUAUUUCUAAAUUAAAUUUUUAAGUAUAACAUGUAGAUAAUAUUUUUAUAUUUUGAUUUUAAAAAACAAAAUUAUGUUUAAUGUUUUUAAAUUCCAAGGAAGUACAUCAUCAAUGAUUCAAUUCUCGGAUGUUGGAAAUUGUUUACAAUUAAUUGUACAAUCAUAAUUAAGCAAGUUAAAGGUUUGAUUUGAAGUUUGUUCAAAGGAAUUUAAUUUCUUCUACACAUGGUUGCAAAUGCAAUGUGAAGUAUCAUGCUUUUAUAAUUGUUUUAAAUAUUUUUUCUUGAAAUAUUGUGGUUCGGGUGUUUGUUUUGUACUGCAGGAAUACCCAAUUUCGUAAUCAUGGUGUACAACUAAACAACUACAAGCAGUUAUUUCUAUUCCUGGAGCAUGUUGGAUUCGUAUUGCAAAGUGGUAUGUUGAUUAGAAUGAUCUAGUUCCGAGUUGUAGGGGUGGGAGGGAGUUACUAUGUUUCAGCUAAGCUUGGAUAGAGAAAAAAUCUAUUUAAUCGACGAGGUAUAUAAAGAUGUACUGAAAAUAUAUUUUGGUAACUCCUAAUUGGAUAAAUAUGAAUAAUUUUUUAAUCUUAAUAAAUAUCACAAUCUAUAUAUCUAUUUAUAUAACUGCAUUUUUGACAAGAAAUAUUGAUAAAAAAAAAAAAGGUAAAAAAAUCCGAUUUUUAAAAUAGAAAAGGUAUGUUUUGGUUGAAGGUAACAAUUUAAUAUGAUCAAUGAUUUGUAAUAAAUAGUUGAAAAAACGAGAAAUAGGUGAAAUUAUUAUACUGUAAGCUGCAGGUUUAGUAUUAUAUUUAUCUUUCAUCAUAAUGGAUGCUAUAUUAUCGAUGACAUUUUAUAAUAAUGGAGAUAUAUCCUAUAUUAUAUCUGCAAUACCAGGAAAUAAUUCUACAAUUUCAACUAUUUGAACUAUUCACAAUUAUAAUAGAUAAACAUGAUGCAAUAUAUUUCAUUCGGCUGAAGAAGAAAUUCAAUUGACAAUGGAAACAGAUUUCUGCUAAAAGAAGAGUAAAACUGAUUGUAAUAUAUAUCAUUGUUUACUAUUUUACGUUUAACUAUUUUAGAUCUACAAAAAUUGACAUUUCAUUUUAAUAAAUGUAUUUUAAAAUUACAUUUGACCUUGAUAUUUUUAUAAUUUAUCAAGACAUAGGUAUAGGACAUAGGUCUAGGAAAAAGGAGACAAAGGAAUAAAGCUGCCGAUGGUUUUAUUUUUUCACAAUGAGAAAAAGGCGGAUUAGUAUAUAUUUCAAAUAAUUUAAAUAUAAAAUUAGUUAUAGCAUGUUAAUAAGCAUGGUAGUGUUAUAUUCAUAGAAAUGCUCAAAUUAUCGUUAUUUAAAUAUACCUGUUUUGGCUCUUUUGGAUGUUUGUGAUUUUUGCUUCAGGAAAUCGAAGAUAAUUUUAUUCUUAUAUGAAUUUUAUGAUAAAUUUUCUAUUCUAUGGAGAAAAAUGCUAUGAAAUACACCUGAAUAUGUAUGUAUUAUAUAAAUAUUAUUUUUAUUAUAUUUAGAAAACGAUGCCGGAUAUAUGAACAGUAUAAAUAUAAAGCUUAUAUUCAAGAUAACAACGGGGUGAAUAACUAUCGAUAUUUGAUAUAUUUAUGAAGAUAAGUUUUCAAUUAUAUUUAAAUAUGAUAAUAUAUAAGUUGAAAUAAAUUUUUAUUGAAAUUUUUUAUUUAAAAGAAAAAGAUGAAGGAUUAAAUUACUAACUUUAUAGUAUCUAGAUACAUUUCAGAAAAUUUGUGAUAUAGAAAAAAAUUUUCUAAAUGGAAGAGAGGUCAUUGUUAUAUCAUCUUAGCCGAGAUUUGAUUAAGACUUGGCUGAAUCUAAAUUUAUUUUAGAUAAUAAAAAAAGUAUGUGUCAGGUAAAUUAAAUGUUCAAAAAACUUACAUAUUUUAAAAAUGUAUUUAAAAUAUGUUGUUAAAAAUAACUUCGGUUAUAUCAAGAUUAUAGUUUAUCUAAAUUGAUGAACAUGAGUUUUCAUUUUCGAUUUUACUUUUUGAAGAAAAUAUCGAAUAUUAAAUCGAAUAUAUCUAUUCAAGAAAAAUUUAAAUCAAGAUAAAUUGUUACAACUUGAAAUGCUGAUUACGUUCAAUUAAAUGGAUCAUUGGAUAAUUGAAAUAUAUUCGACAAGAUUUUUAAAUUAAUAACUUUAUAAAUCUCUCCUAAUUAGAAAAGAAAUAUAAAUGUUCUUUUUUUUUUAUUGAGAAAUGAUUUUAAAUCUAAUAAAUAAUGAUCUGAAAUUAAUUCGAGUAAAAUCUGUCGUACAUACAACAAUUGAAGAUUUUGAAUGUAAAAAAAAUUGACGCAAAAUUAAAAUAGGAUUUAAUUUUUCAUUAAAAAGUAAGAAUUGUUUAAUAAAAUAUAUUUUUAAUUAAGUACAUAAUAUUCAAUCGGUAAUAAAUUUUUUCAUUUCAGAUUUAAUGAUGAGUGUACAUUUUCAGAACAUAUUUGAAAAUAUUUAAAAAAAUAUAUAUAUAUAAAAUUGAAGUAAUUUUCUUUGUAAUAAAAAAUAAUAUAAAGUGAAUAGAAUAAUAGAAAUACAAAUAGUAAUCUAUAACAUCUGGCAUAGUUCGAAUUAUUAAAAAUGAUUAUAUUCUUCAAAAAACAUAACCUUAAGUUAGUAUUAAAUCAAUAUUAAAAUACAAGUUUCAAUUUGAAUAUAAUUAAAAAAACUAUACUAUCAUAAAAACAUAGAAGAAAAACAAAGUUGAUUAUAAUGUAUUGUGAAAGUAAUAUAUAACAAUAAUAAUUUAAGAUAUGAAAAUUUAUAUUGAUAUUCGAAAAAUUUAAAUUGCAUUCACUACAUAUUAUUUCGUAAAAUUGUAGAAGAGAAUCAACGUGGGAUUUUAUGGUAUAUCUACUACAUUGUGAGUACUACAAAGUUCUUUUGAAGGAGAUAUAGAUCUAAUUGGUUGAUUAUGAUAACUACACAUUCACAAAAAUAAAUAUGAAAUAAAUGCCAAAUAUAUAAUAUAUGUUGAUGAAUAAAAGAUACGAGUAUUUAGUUUUGCUUGCGAGCAAAAGGCAAAAUAGCUUUUUGCAAUUUCAACGAAUAGAUGCAAAUUUUAAUAAUAGAAGAUGCUACCAAUUAAAUAAAUUUAAAAUUAUUAAUGGAGAACUUUAGAGAAACAAUAAGAUUUUAUAAAAUCCAAAUGAAAAUAUUAUCGCGAAACUAAAUGGCAUUCAAAAAAAAUUAUCAAUGUGAAUUUUUAUAGAAUUUAAAAAAAGGCUAUUAAUAUGGAUCUUUAUAGGAUUCAAAGGAGACUCGAUACGAGUCUUUCUAGGAUUCAAAGAUUAUCAACGUAGGAUUCAGAAGAAAUUAUCACAGGAUUUCGAAGGAUUUAAAGAAGACUAUCAACGCGGGACUUCAUGAAAUUCAGAAGAUCGACUCAGGAUUUCGUGAGAUUCGGAAAAGGUUACUGAUGCGGGACUUCGUGGGAUUCAAAAAACUAUCAACGCGGGACUUUGUGGGAUUCGAAGAAAGACUAUCAACGUGGGACUUCGUGGGAUUCAAAGAAGACUAUCAACGCCGGACUGUGGGAUUCCAAGAAGACUAUCAACGUGGGACUUCGUGGGAUUCAAAGAAGAGUAUCGACGUGGGACUUCGUGGGAUUCAAAGAGGACUAUCGACGUGGGACUUCGUGGGAUUCAAAGAAGACUAUCGACGCGGGACUUCGUGGGAUUCAAAGAAAACUAUCAACGCCGGACUGUGGGAUUCAAAGAAGACUAUCAACGCUGGAUCGAGGGAUUCAAAGAAGACUAUCAACGUGGGACUUCGUGGGAUUCAAAGAAGACUAUCAACAUCGGACUGUGGGAUUCAAAGAAGAUUAUCAACGUGGGACUUCGUGGGAUUCAAAGAAGAUUAUGAACGCAGAACUUUGUGGGAUUCAAAGAAGAUCAUCAAUACGGUUUAAUGAAAUUUCAUGAUAAAUUAUUAAUGCGGGAUUUUAUAGGAUUGUAGGAAAGCGCCUUCGUAUUCAAAAAAAGACUUCGAUGAAAUUUGUAAUCCAAAAAACCGUCAUUGCCAGAUAUCAUGAAAUUCAAAAGGAAUAUUAAAAAAAGAUUUAAUGAAAUUUAAAUAUUAGCGAGAUAAAUUUUUAAAGAUAUAAAAAAUUAUUGAAAUUGGAAUUAGAAACAAAUCUCAAAUUCUGAUAUUUGAAACUUAUUACCAAAUACAAGUGUGUUACUUAAUGAAUUUUCUAAAGAAAGGAUCUGCUUAUUUCUAUUUUAUUCACAUAUUUAUGAUAUUGCUAUAUUAACUGAUUCAUAUGCUAUGAUAAUAUAUUCAACGAAAUUAGGAAACUAUGUGAAUGUGAAAUAGAAAUAAAAAUUAUGAUAAAUAGAUUUUUUUUCGUAAUCGAUUAUCAAUCAUUCAAAUAUAGUUAUGUAUCUUUUUUAAUUUUUAUUAAUAAAAUUUUAGUAAUUGUUUUAUAUUUGUAAAAUAUAUGGAAAUUUUAUUCUUUCCAACUUUUAUUUUAUCAAGAUAUCACGAAUAAAACGUAAUAAGACAUAAAUAUUUAUUUUUCAAAAAAUGCUAUUGAUAAAUUUCUAUCUUAACAAAUCGAUAUUGCAUAUUAUGCGAGUCUAUACAAGUAAAAUGUUAAACAUGUAAAUUUUUUAUCUUGAAUAUCGUGAUAUCUUAUUUCCAAUAGCUUAAUUCAGAAAAGAAUUGCUUGGCAAUCGUGAAUCCAUAUUUUUUAACUAUUGGUAGAAUGUAAGAUGUUAAAUAUAUAAAUAUGUACAUACUGUAAAUUGAAAACUAAUUUGGAUUGUUACGGAAUUUAAAAAUAGUUUUAUUAUUAAAAAGUUUUUUUAAUUAAAAAUAUUUUUUAAAUUUCAUAUGGGAAAUAACUGCGAUAAUAAAAUAAAAAUAUUAAACAAAUUGAUUUAUAGAAAAUUAUAUUUCGCUGAUAAUAAAUUAAAAUAAUAGUUUCAAAUAUUAAUAAUAUUCAAUCGAGUAGAAUAAAUUUUUUAAUGGACUAUAUAUUUUGAAGUAUCUUUCACAUAAAAAAUUAGAAUUUUUGGUAUUUCAUAUAAUUUAAAAUAGAUAUAUGACAAGAUUUAUAUUUAAUUUAAUAAAAAUUUGAUGAAAUUCCUAGAUUUUAAAAAUAAUUUCUUUAAUAUAAUUCCACAUUUGUCAAUCAAUUAUAAAUAAAAAUAUAAAAUAAUAAAUUAACAAAUUUUAACAAAUUAAUGAUCAAAUAAAAUUUUGAACUUUGAAACUUGUACAGCUCUAAAUCGCACUA